GGGGUGACUAGUGACAGAGUGAGGAAGGGGGUGACUAGUGACAUAGGGAGGGGUGACUAGGGACAGAGUGAGGGAGGUGGUGACUAGUGACAGUCACCACCUCCCUCACUCUGUCACUAGUCACCCCCUCCCUCACUGUGUCACCACCUCCCUCUGUCACUGGUCACCCCUCCCUCCCUCUGUCACUGGUCACCCACUCCCUCCCUCACUUUGUCACCAGUCAUCCCC